AGAUUGAACGCUGGCGGCAUGCCUAACACAUGCAAGUCGAACGGGAGUAGCAAUACUCUAGUGGCGGACGGGUGAGGAAUACGUAGGAAUUUGCCCUUAAGUGGGGGAUAACCCGGGGAAACCCGGAUUAAUACCGCAUGACCUCGAAAGAGCAAAGUGGGGGAUCGCAAGACCUCACGCUUUUGGAGAAGCCUACGUCGGAUUAGCUAGUUGGUGAGGUAAUGGCUCACCAAGGCGACGAUCCGUAACUGGUCUGAGAGGAUGAUCAGUCACACCGGAACUGAGACACGGUCCGGACUCCGUACGGGAGGCAGCAGUGGGGAAUAGUUGGACGAUGGGG
rnacentral:rRNA from 1 species